AUACGGAGGGUGCAAGCGUUAUCCGGAAUCAUUGGGUUUAAAGGGUCCGUAGGCGGACUAAUAAGUCAGAGGUGAAAUCCCACAGCUUUACUGUGGAACUGCCUUUGAUACUGGUAGUCUUGAGUUAUAUGGAAGUAGAUAGAAUGUGUAGUGUAGCGGUGAAAUGCAUAGAUAUUACACAGAAUACCGAUUGCGAAGGCAGUCUACUACGUAUAUACUGACGCUAAGGGACGAAAGCGUGGGGAGCGAACAGGAUUAGAUACCCUAGUAGUCC
rnacentral:rRNA from 1 species